GGGGAGGCAGCAGCCUCCUCACUGUUGUCGUAGAAAGUAAAGGGGCAGCAGAUAAAAGCGAAGGCGCAGGCGUUGGACAGGAUUCUCCGUGCAGCUGCUUCACUUUUUCUCUUUUAUAAACACACGUGUCGUUGUUUGUUUUUGAAGUAAAAAAGAAAAAAAAUGGGAAGCACAGUGAUGGAGUCCAACAAGCAGGACUCAAAGAAAACGCCAAAGAAGCGACGGAGUCUGCGGAUUAACAUGCCAGAUUUUGGAGCAUUUACUUCCUCACAAGUGGAGAGAAGUGGCCCCAAAUCUCAGACGGGAGAGAUCCGUACAGCAAGCCCCACCAUAGGAGUGUCUGCGAGGAGUCCUGCCAGCACCAUGCUGCCGGCAUGUCCCAAGUCUGCUCCAGUCCAGCCAAAGACGGGCUCGAGUUCACCCAGAACUAUCUUCCCGUUUGCCUCCCACCAGAACUCCCCACCAAAAUCUCCUAAAUCCCCCCGUCGCCUAAGCUUCAGUGGUAUCUUCCGCUCAUCAUCCAUCUCUACACCUGCAAGCAUCAAAAUCUUCUCUCGAACCAGGAGAGCCUCUGGACUUUCCACACCACCCAGCACGCCAACCCAGGUGACCAGCCCACCUGUGUUCACCCAGGAAGCCCAGCAGAGCUGGCUCAGUUCUGAACGGAUGGAACCAACCUUCAGAACCCGCUCCCUCUCCACACCUCCAGACACUGGACAGCAGCUAAGCCUCCCCUCUGCUAAACCCCCGAUCCCUUUCUCAAACCCUGGGUCGUCUUAUUCUACCUCACAACAAGUCUACGGAUUAUCUGAAGGCAUGCUGGAGAAACUUGAACUAGAUGAUGAAGCUGCUGAACCUGAGAGUGAUAUUUACACACGCUUUAUGAAAUCACACAAGUGCUACGAUAUUGUCCCCACAAGCUCCAAGCUGGUUGUGUUCGACACAGCACUCCAAGUUAAGAAAGCGUUCUUCGCCUUGGUAGCAAAUGGCGUGCGAGCUGCCCCAUUAUGGGACACGGAGAAGCAAAGCUUUGUGGGAAUGCUGACCAUCACAGAUUUCAUCAUCAUACUACACAGAUACUAUAAGUCACCGAUGGUGCAGAUUUAUGAAUUAGAGGAACAUAAGCUUGAGACAUGGAGAGAGGUUUACCUUCAAGCAACGUUCAAACCUCUGGUCAACAUAUCACCUGAUGCAAGCCUGUUUGAUGCAGUGUACACCCUCAUCAAAAACAAAAUUCACCGUCUGCCUGUCAUUGACCCCGUCACGGGGAAUGCACUUUAUAUUCUCACACACAAGAGGAUCCUCAAGUUCCUCCAGCUCUUUAUGUGUGAAAUGCCUAAGCCGGCCUUCAUGAAGCUGACUGUCGAGGAGCUGGGCAUCGGUACGUACCACGACAUCGCUUUCAUCCACCCGGACACGCCCAUCAUUAAAGCACUCAACAUCUUUGUGGAGAGACGAGUGUCUGCUCUGCCUGUGGUGGACGACUCGGGUAAAGUUGUGGAUAUUUACUCCAAGUUUGACGUGAUUAAUUUGGCUGCUGAGAAGACGUACAACAACCUGGACAACACCGUGACACAGGCUCUGAAACAUCGCUCCCAGUACUUUGAAGGAGUCGUCAAGUGCCAUAAAACAGAAACCAUGGAGACCAUUGUGGACAGAAUAGUCAAAGCUGAGGUGCAUCGGUUGGUGGUGGUGGACAAGCGCUCCAGCAUCGAGGGCAUCGUCUCCCUGUCGGACAUCCUCCAGGCUCUGGUGCUCAGCCCUACAGGUAUAGAUGCUCAGCAUUAGCACCGACUCCCCCCCUCCUGUCCUGGACCCUGAGCUCUCUCCCCUCACCUGCCCUUUAACUUUGCCCAGACGCCUGUAAGGAGGAGAACGUGACCGCGUACGAGGGAGGAAGCGUCAGCGGCAGCAGUGAAGACGUGGUGGGAGGGACUAAGUGUGAAGGUUAAGGCUGUGUGAGGCUUUAGAGAGUCACAGUGACGCCUGCAAGUGAUGCACUAUAGACGCUUGGAAACCAAAGAGCUAGACAGCUGAGAGUGAAGUGGAGUCCCUGCACUGACGCGUGAUUUUUUUCCGAGUUUGUUUGUUGUUUUUGCUUUUGUUUGAACACUGAUCGGAUGACGCACACAUGUACAUUACACUGUAUAAAGGCGCACACGCUCGUACACACAGAGAUGCAUCAUGGGUAUCUGCCCUUGAUCUGUGAAAGGUGGAGACGAAAAGAUGCAGCUCGUGUUUUCGGUUCAAAACUGCGCUUCACCUACCAUGUGGCCAUUUUAUGACUGUUAAAACAAAACAAUUUGCCAGUGCCAUUGUUGUGCGCUCCAUGCCCAGGCUUUCGUUGUGCCUUUUCGGUUUGCCCACACCAGUAAUGCUGUUCUUUAUUUUCUUUUCUUUUUUUGUAAUUUUAACAAUGUAUUGGUGUGAUAAUAUAAGUAGUUGGCAAAAAUGUACCUUCUCCUGUAUUAAGAUUCAUUCUCUGUGACUAUAAUUCACAUCUUUUGAAUUUGUUACGUACAUUUUACAUGAAAAAUGAUAUGACGAAUAAAAUCUAAAUAUUUUUCGACACAAAAUGCAGUGAUCAGAGGCAAAUGUAAUACAAGUGUGAGUGAGAAUCUGUCGUACAUCGAGUCACCGUGACUAUAAAGAUGUAUAUUUGUAAUGGUUUGACGAGACUGAAUGGUUUUAGAUGGUUUUUGUCGCUUCACAUAAUCUGACACUUGCUUUACUGCUUCUUUUUUCUCCCCUCUCAGCUGUAGCUCCACAGGACUCAUCUCCAUCAUCGACUGUACAUAGGUUUGUUGUUCUUUUGGGGAUAAAAGUGUCAAACAAAGCUUUAUUUUUAUGAAAAAAAAAAUGUCAACGUGUUUAAAGAGACUGCAGUUUUAACGUUAUUUUUGUAAAUAUACUGUGGCAAAUGUGUCGAGUUCAACAAAACUUUGUAUCAGAUCAACAUGUACUGUAAACGUGCAAGCAUGAGAAACCUACACUUCAGCAGUAUGAAUGUUCCUUGUUUUACUUUUUCUAUUUUUCUGGCUGCAGAAAAAUAAAUUGACACUGAAUGUA